rnacentral:rRNA from 1 species
UGCGAAGGGGGCUAGCGUUGUUCGGAAUUACUGGGCGUAAAGCGCACGUAGGCGGAUAUUUAAGUUAGGGGUGAAAUCCCAGGGCUCAACCCUGGAACUGCCUUUAAUACUGGGUAUCUCGAGUCCGAGAGAGGUGAGUGGAAUUCCGAGUGUAGAGGUGAAAUUCGUAGAUAUUCGGAAGAACACCAGUGGCGAAGGCGACUUACUGGACACAUAUUGACGCUGAGGUGCGAAAGCGUGGGGAGCAAACAGG